rnacentral:rRNA from 1 species
UGGGGAAUAUUGGACAAUGGGCGCAAGCCUGAUCCAGCCAUGCCGCGUGAGUGAUGAAGGCCCUAGGGUUGUAAAGCUCUUUCACCGGUGAAGAUAAUGACGGUAACCGGAGAAGAAGCCCCGGCUAACUUCGUGCCAGCAGCCGCGGUAAUACGAAGGGGGCUAGCGUUGUUCGGAUUUACUGGGCGUAAAGCGCACGUAGGCGGACUUUUAAGUCAGGGGUGAAAUCCCGGGGCUCAACCCCGGAACUGCCUUUGAUACUGGAAGUCUUGAGUAUGGUAGAGGUGAGUGGAAUUCCGAGUGUAGAGGUGAAAUUCGUAGAUAUUCGGAGGAACACCAGGGGCGAAGGCGGGUCACUGGACCAAUACCGACGCUGAGGUGCGAAAGCGUGGGGAGCAAACAGG